rnacentral:rRNA from 1 species
AGAGUUUGAUCCUGGCUCAGGACGAACGCUGGCGGCGUGCCUAAUGCAUGCAAGUAGAACGCUGAAGAGAGGAGCUUGCUCUUCUUGGAUGAGUUGCGAACGGGUGAGUAACGCGUAGGUAACCUGCCUUGUAGCGGGGGAUAACUAUUGGAAACGAUAGCUAAUACCGCAUAACAAUGGAUGACCCAUGUCAUUUAUUUGAAAGGGGCAAAUGCUCCACUACAAGAUGGACCUGCGUUGUAUUAGCUAGUAGGUGAGGUAACGGCUCACCUAGGCGACGAUACAUAGCCGACCUGAGAGGGUGAUCGGCCACACUGGGACUGAGACACGGCCCAGACUCCUACGGGAGGCAGCAGUAGGGAAUCUUCGGCAAUGGGGGCAACCCUGACCGAGCAACGCCGCGUGAGUGAAGAAGGUUUUCGGAUCGUAAAGCUCUGUUGUAAGUCAAGAACGAGUGUGAGAGUGGAAAGUUCACACUGUGACGGUAGCUUACCAGAAAGGGACGGCUAACUACGUGCCAGCAGCCGCGGUAAUACGUAGGUCCCGAGCGUUGUCCGGAUUUAUUGGGCGUAAAGCGAGCGCAGGCGGUUUGAUAAGUCUGAAGUUAAAGGCUGUGGCUCAACCAUAGUUCGCUUUGGAAACUGUCAAACUUGAGUGCAGAAGGGGAGAGUGGAAUUCCAUGUGUAGCGGUGAAAUGCGUAGAUAUAUGGAGGAACACCGGUGGCGAAAGCGGCUCUCUGGUCUGUAACUGACGCUGAGGCUCGAAAGCGUGGGGAGCGAACAGGAUUAGAUACCCUGGUAGUCCACGCCGUAAACGAUGAGUGCUAGGUGUUGGAUCCUUUCCGGGAUUCAGUGCCGCAGCUAACGCAUUAAGCACUCCGCCUGGGGAGUACGACCGCAAGGUUGAAACUCAAAGGAAUUGACGGGGGCCCGCACAAGCGGUGGAGCAUGUGGUUUAAUUCGAAGCAACGCGAAGAACCUUACCAGGUCUUGACAUCCCGAUGCUAUUUCUAGAGAUAGAAAGUUACUUCGGUACAUCGGUGACAGGUGGUGCAUGGUUGUCGUCAGCUCGUGUCGUGAGAUGUUGGGUUAAGUCCCGCAACGAGCGCAACCCCUAUUGUUAGUUGCCAUCAUUCAGUUGGGCACUCUAGCGAGACUGCCGGUAAUAAACCGGAGGAAGGUGGGGAUGACGUCAAAUCAUCAUGCCCCUUAUGACCUGGGCUACACACGUGCUACAAUGGUUGGUACAACGAGUUGCGAGUCGGUGACGGCAAGCUAAUCUCUUAAAGCCAAUCUCAGUUCGGAUUGUAGGCUGCAACUCGCCUACAUGAAGUCGGAAUCGCUAGUAAUCGCGGAUCAGCACGCCGCGGUGAAUACGUUCCCGGGCCUUGUACACACCGCCCGUCACACCACGAGAGUUUGCAACACCCGAAGUCGGUGAGGUAACCUUUUGGAGCCAGCCGCCUAAGGUGGGAUAGAUGAUUGGGGUGAAGUCGUAACAAGGUA